GCAGGAGAGGUAGUAAAAGGCAAAAUCUUCUUCACUGACCUCGGUUAAUAAAUGCUACUGCUGAGUCUGUACUUCUAGGGUACCCCUUAGACACGAUAGAAGGAUUGCUGUUUGAAAAGCACCCUGUGACCCACCUCAGCCUGGAGCCCUUCACCCAGUGUGCCUGGAUUAUUUAUCUCCCAAAUUCCUGAAGAGAUCCAGCUGAUGUCAUCCUCUGAGCUGCUGUGAAGGACUGUUAACCACAGGGGAUCUGCAACUGCUUCAUGAGCAACAAAAACAUCCUUGCAAUAGGAUGUCAGGCUUCGGAAGGCCCUUGAAGAUAACCAUGGAUCCCUGAGUUGGUCCAAGUAAGACAGUGCUUAUGAGUCAGAGCUCUUACAGCUCUUAGAUCCUUGCACUGCAAAUAUGUUUAUACAAUUUUAGAUGCUUAUGAAUAAGAUAAGACUUAAAAUAAUUUAAAUUUUGCCUACCAGCUUAGCUUAGAUAUCUUCCCCUGGUUUACAGUUGGGAAGUGAAACUGAUUUUGAUUAUA
rnacentral:lncRNA from 14 species